rnacentral:rRNA from 1 species
AGUUGCCAUCAUUCAGUUGGGCACUCUAGCGAGACUGCCGGUAAUAAACCGGAGGAAGGUGGGGAUGACGUCAAAUCAUCAUGCCCCUUAUGACCUGGGCUACACACGUGCUACAAUGGUUGGUACAACGAGUUGCGAGUCGGUGACGGCGAGCUAAUCUCUUAAAGCCAAUCUCAGUUCGGAUUGUAGGCUGCAACUCGCCUACAUGAAGUCGGAAUCGCUAGUAAUCGCGGAUCAGCACGCCGCGGUGAAUACCGUUCCCGGGCCUU